rnacentral:sRNA from 1 species
CCUGAAAUGUUUCAGUAGUUCUCAUGCUCAUGAA